rnacentral:rRNA from 1 species
CCUUCGGGUUGUAAAGCUCUUUCGGCCGGAACGAAAUCGCGUUACGUAAAUAACGUGCGUGGAUGACGGUACUGGAAGAAGAAGCACCGGCUAACUACGUGC